CGAGACGCUCCCCCAGUUUUGGUAAAAGUGACUCGAGAUAUCGUCACUUCACCGGUCGGCUCGCUCUCUCCCGUCUUUUCCAGUCACUUCCAAACCGUGAUUGGAGUUCUCCAUUGGGGGGAGAACAUAGGCUGAGGCUCACGCAGCAGAUACAUUGAAGUGCAGCGCUGCAGCAUUGAGCAGCAUUUUGUUGGCUAUAACCGCUCUCCGUGGACCUGACCUGCUCCACCCGCAUAGCACCAGCUCGACAUCCGGUGCUGAAAGGACAGCGCCAGGACCAGCAUCAUAUCAGUGGUGACGCAUUCUCCCAUUUUCCCUACAUGUUCUGCCAUAUAUAAUUAGUUUAGAUUCUAACUUUCGACAAGAGAGCCAUAUUGCCCAGCCUUGAACCCCCAAGAAAGGUUAAAUAAUAGCAAUAGAGCGGGUGAUAACUCUAUUCAUGCAAGGCACUACCGCUUUAUUUGAACAACGUUGUUUAGUCACUUCUCAGUGUUCAAGGCCAACACUUAGCGCUAUUACACAACACAUAAACAGCUCAGAACAUUGCAGCAGGUGAGAAGAGGUAAGAUAUUGCAUAGGAGGUCGGCUGUGGUGUGUAUUGAACCACCACAGUCAAAAUUCUUUUCCAUUUUCUUAAAAUGUGUUUCUAAAUAUAAGGUUAUAAUAUACAGUGCCUUGGGAAAGUAUUCACCCCCUUUGACUUUCCCCACAUUUUGUUGUGUUACAGCCGUAUUCUAAAAUGGAUUAAUAAAAAAUAAAAAAUCUACACACAAUACCUCCAUUGAUCAUCCUUGAGAUGUUUCUACAACUUGAUUGUAGUCCACCGGCGGUAAAUUCAAUUGAUUGGACAUGAUUUGGAAAGGCACACACCUGUCUAUAUAAGGUCCCACAGUUGACAGUGCAUGUCAGAGAAAAAAACAAGCCAUGAGGUCGAAGGAAUUGUCCGUAGAGCUCCGAGACAGGAUUGUGUAGAGGCACAGAUCUGGGGAAGGGUACCAAAAAAUGUCUGCAGCAUUGAAGGACUUCAAGAACACAGUGGUCUCCUCAUUUUUAAAUCAAAGAAGUUUGGAACCACCAAGGCCAAACUGAACAAUCCGGGGAGAAGGGCCUUGGUCAAGGAGGUGACCAAGAACCUGAUAGUAUUUUUCAGGUACAGGGACUGGGAGACUAGUCACGAUCGAGGGAAAGAUGAACGGAGCAAUGUACAGCGAGAUCCUUGAUGAAAACCUGCUCCAGAGUGCUCAGGACCUCAGAAUGGAGCAAGGGUUUACCUUCCAACAGGACAGCGACCCUAAGCACACAGCCAAGACAACGUAGGUGUGUCUUCCAGACAAGUCUCUGAAUGUCCUUGAGUGGCCCAGCCAGAGCCCAGACUUGAACCCAUGUCUGGAGAGACCUGAAAAUAGCUGUGCAGCAACGCUCCCCAUCCCACCUGACAGAGCUUGAGAGGAUCUGCAUAGGAGAAUGGGAGAAACCCCCCAAAUACAGGUGAGCCAAGCUUGUAGCGUCAUACCCAAGAAUACUUGAGGCUGUAAUUUCUGCCAAAGGUGCUUCAACAAAAUACUGAGUAAAGGGUCUGAAUACUUAUGUAAAUGUGAUAUUUCUGUAUAGUUUAAAAAUAUAUAUUUUUUGCAAAAUCGAAUAGAAACCAGAUUUUGCUUUUUCAUUUUGGGGUAUUGUGUGUAGAUUAAUUAAAAAAACAAAGAUUUAAUACAUUUUAGAAUAAGGCUGUAACGUAACAAAAUGUGGAAAAAGUCAAGAGGUCUGAAUACUUUCAGAAGACAAUGUAUAUAUAUAUAUAAAUAUAUAUAAUUUUUUGAAUAUAUAUUUUUUGAAUAUACAAUAUACACAGUUUGGAUACACCUACUCAUUCAAGGGUUUUUCUUUAUGUUGACUUGUUGGCUGCUUUUCCUUCCCUCUGCGGUCCAACUCAUCCCAAACCAUCUCAAUUGGGUUGAGGUCAGGUAAUUGUGGAGACCAGGUCAUCUGAUGCAGCACUCCGUCACUCUCCUUCUUGGUCAAAUAGCCCUUACACAGCCUGGAGGUGUGUUGGGUCAAUGUCCCACUAAGCGCAAACCAGAUGGGAUGGCGUAUCACUACAGCCAUGCUGAUUAAGUGUGCCUUGAAUUCUAAAUAAAUCUCAGACAGUGUCACCAGCAAAGCACCCCCACAGCAUCACACCUCCUCCUCCAUGCUUCACGGUGGGAACCACACAUGCUGAGAUCAUCCGUUCACCUACUCUGAGUCUCACAAAGACACCGUGGUUGCAACCAAAAAUCGCAAAUUUGGACUCAUCAGAACAAAGAACGUAUCUCCACCGGUCUAAUGUCAAGUGCUCGUGUUUCUUGGCCCAAGUAAGUCUCUUCUUCUUAUUGGUGUCCUUUAGUAGUGAUUUCUUUGCAGCAAUUCAACCAUGAAGGCCUGAUUCCAGUGGUCUCCUCUGAGCAGUUGAUGUUGAGAUGUGUCUGUUGCUUGAACUCUGUGAAGCAUUUAUUUGGGCUGCAAUUUCUGAGGCUGGUAACUGUAAUGAUUUUAUCCUCUGCAGUAGAGGUAACUCUGGGUCUUCUUUUCCUGUGUCGGUCCUCAUGAGAGCCAGUUUCAUUACAACGAUGGUUUUUGCAACUGCGCUUGAAGAAACUUUCAAAGUUCUUGAAACUUUCCAUAUUGACUGACCUCCAUGUUUUAAAGUAAUGAUGGACUGUCGUUUCUCUUUGCUGAUUUGACCUGUUCUUGCCAUAAUAUGGACUUGGUCUUUUACCAAAUAGGGCUAUCUUCUGUAUACCACCCCUACCUUGUCACAACACAACUGAUUGGUUAUCUUCUGUAUACCACCCCUACCUUGUCACAACACAACUGAUUGGCUCAAACGCAUUAAGAAGGAAAGACAUUCCACAAAUGAACUUUUAACAAGGCACACCUGUUAAUUGCAAUGCAUUCCAGGUGACUACCUCAUGAAGCUGGUUGAGAGAAUGCCAAGAGUGUACAAAGCUGUCAUCAAGGCAAAGGGUGGCUACUUUGAGGAAUUUCAAAUGUAAAAUAUAUUUUGAUUUGUUUAACACUUGUUUGGUUACUACAUGAUUCCAUAUGUGUUAUUUCAUAGUUUUGAUGUCUCAUUAUUAUUCUACCAUGUAGAAAAUAGUAAAAAUAAAGAAAAACCCUUGAAUGAG
ensembl:lncRNA